CGGGAUGGACGUACCGCUGGUGCAUCAGUUGUUCCGCCAGGAGCAUGGCUGAGUAGCUACGUACGGACGGGAUAAGCGCUGAAAGCAUCUAAGCGUGAAGCCCCCCUCAAGAUGAGAUUUCCCAGUAUGUAAGACCCCUUGAAGACGACGAGGUAGAUAGGUUGGAGGUGGAAGUGCAGCAAUGCAUGGAGCUGACCAAUACUAAUCGGUCGAGGGCUUAUCCAAA
rnacentral:rRNA from 1 species